UACGGAGGGUGCAAGCGUUAAUCGGAAUUACUGGGCGUAAAGGGUGCGUAGGUGGUUAAUUAAGUUAUCUGUAAAAUCCCCGGGCUCAACCUGGGCAGGUCAGAUAAUACUGGUUAACUCGAGUAUGGGAGAGGGUAGUGGAAUUUCCGGUGUAGCGGUGAAAUGCGUAGAGAUCGGAAGGAACACCAGUGGCGAAGGCGGCUACCUGGCCCAAUACCGACACUGAGGCACGAAAGCGUGGGGAGCAAAC
rnacentral:rRNA from 1 species